UAUCAGCACAAACAGAGACUCAGAGUCAGAGACUGGAGCCCAGAGUGAUGUACACGGUUGUAUUUAUCCCCACAACAACCCAGUGAGGUUUGUGUUCCAGCAUUGAAAACAGAUGUCAUGACUGAGACAUGGCACAAAUUAGGAACUGCUGGAGAGAGGCCCACCAGUGUCUUGCAGUUCCUAUUGACCGAGGAAGAAAAGGGAGACAGGAAGUUGAACCUGAGGCGACUGAGAGCAUCAGCACAUCUGUCCUAUAAGCCUAUAUCGUGGGGCACGUCGUGCAUCUGCUCUGGAAGAUCAAGAAGAAGGGAUAAUGUGGAUGUUCAGGGUUUCAGAAUAAGCAUUUCUGUCCUCAAAAAUAAGUGGGAGUUGUAUCCUUUUAAAACUGAAUGUUUGCCCUUUGUCUAUUGCAGUGCAGUAUGGUGUGGCUGAAGUAUUUUUGUGCAGAAUUGCAGACAUUGUGGGGAAACAUCAACAACCAGCAGCAAUAAGUGGACUGAUUGAUCAUACUUCUGUCUUGCUCUUCUGCUUCUAAGCAAGACUGGUUGCUAGCCAGGAGACUGGUUUACUGUAAAUCAAAACCCUGAUUCUUUGAGCAGGAAAGCCAAGACCUGCAAGUUCAGUGCAAGUCCCAUAAAGCUUUGCAACAAAAGAAACCAGAAUAAAUUUAAUUUAUUCUGCUUUCUUUUGUAAUAGGCAAUUAGUUAGUUGAUCUAAUAUACCACUAAUGUUGAUUUGACUGAUCCAUUUGCUGUCAAAAAACUCUGUUCAGCAUUGCCACAAGUGAUGGCAAGUCUCAUAACUGUGAGACUAUACUGGUUUUUACUGGCAUAAAACGCAGAAACUUGUGUUUUUGGCAGUAAACAAAUGUGUUAAAUAAAUAAAUAAAAUGUGUUACAUAAAUAUGCUGAAGGACUAUACUAAAAGCUCUAUUAUGCUUUUAUUUAUUUCUCACAUUGGGUUGAACAAUGAAG